CCUACGGGUGGCAGCAGUAGGGAAUAUUGCUCAAUGGGGGAAACCCUGAAGCAGCAACGCCGCGUGGAGGAUGACGGUUUUCGGAUUGUAAACUCCUUUUGUUAGAGAAGAUAUUGACGGUAUCUAACGAAUAAGCACCGGCUAACGCAGUACCAGCAGCCGCGGUAAUACGGAGGGUGCCAGCGUUACUCGGAAUCACUGGGCGUAAAGGGCGCGUAGGCGGGAAAGAAAGUUAGAUGGGAAAACCGAGGGGUUAACCAUAGAACUGCAUUUGAAACUGUUAUUCUAGAGUAUGGGAGAGGUAGGUGGAAUGCUUGGUGUAGGGGUAAAAUGCGUAGAGAUCAAGCGGAAUACUCAUUGCGAAGGCGACCUGCUAGAACCUAACUGACGCUGAUGCGCGAAAGCGUGGGGAGCAAACAGGAUUAGAUACCCUAGUAGUC
rnacentral:rRNA from 1 species